rnacentral:rRNA from 1 species
GACGAACGCUGGCGGCGUGCCUAAUACAUGCAAGUAGAACGCUGAAGAGAGGAGCUUGCUCUUCUUGGAUGAGUUGCGAACGGGUGAGUAACGCGUAGGUAACCUGCCUGGUAGCGGGGGAUAACUAUUGGAAACGAUAGCUAAUACCGCAUAAAAUGGAUUAUCGCAUGAUAAUCCAUUGAAAGGUGCAAAUGCAUCACUACCAGAUGGACCUGCGUUGUAUUAGCUAGUUGGUGGGGUAACGGCUCACCAAGGCGACGAUACAUAGCCGACCUGAGAGGGUGAUCGGCCAAACUGGGACUGAGACACGGCCCAGACUCCUGCGGGAGGCAGCAGUAGGGAAUCUUCGGCAAUGGACGGAAGGCUGACCGAGCAACGCCGCGUGAGUGAAGAAGGGUUUCGGAUCGUAAAGCUCUGUUGUAAGAGAAGAACGAGUGUGAGAGUGGAAAGUUCACACUGUGACGGUAUCUUACCAGAAAGGGACGGCUAACUACGUG